rnacentral:lncRNA from 1 species
AUUACUUGAAGGAUGUACUUUACAGCUUUUUGAUCAAAUAUUAUCAAAGUUGGCUUAAUAUCUUGCUGAUUGAGUUUCAAUGUUAAAUGGAAAGAGAGCUAUAGAAUUGUCUUUUAGCUAUGAAAAGUGUGAAUUUACCGGAGGAAGAAGGUGAAUGACUUGUGUCUAUAGGUGAAUAAAAAGCAAUGAAUCAUGAUACAAAUUUUGUGGGUCUCACAACUCCAUUUCUUAAAAGUAAAAAGUAUAAUGUAACUAAUACAUAAUAUUUAUGUCUUACUCAUAAUCAAUCUUCUUGUUUUAAGGCUGGCUUGAACUGAAAUCUUAGUUCUGUAAAUUUUUUGGUUGACCUUACUAAAUGAUGCAAAAAUGUUACCUUGGCCGCAGGACAUUUUUUCUAUGAAUGACUUUCUUACAGCAAGGACCAUCGGCAGUUUCUGUUCUAUCUGCAAUUGGAAACGUGCGUCAUGUUACCCUUCGGCGAUAUGCAAUGGGUAGUGACACUGUGACGUAUGAGGUCUGUAUGAGUUUCAAC